GGCCGCCGUGAUCCCGGACCUCGGUCCGGACCCUGGACCCUGGCGCAUCUUCCCCGGUGCCAGGUGCCGGGGGCCGGACUGGGAUCCGAGGCCACGGAACAACGAA
rfam:Propionibacterium sp. oral taxon 192 str. F0372 genomic scaffold acKdT-supercont1.1, whole genome shotgun sequence.